rnacentral:rRNA from 1 species
AUUGAACGCUGGCGGCAGGCCUAACACAUGCAAGUCGAACGGUAACGGGAAGAAGCUUGCUUCUUUGCUGACGAGUGGCGGACGGGUGAGUAAUGUCUGGGAAACUGCCUGAUGGAGGGGGAUAACUACUGGAAACGGUAGCUAAUACCGCAUAACGUCGCAAGACCAAAAAGGGGGACCUUCGGGCCUCUUGCCAUCGGAUGUGCCCAGAUGGGAUUAGCUAGUAGGUGGGGUAACGGCUCACCUAGGCGACGAUCCCUAGCUGGUCUGAGAGGAUGACCAGCCACACUGGAACUGAGACACGGUCCAGACUCCUACGGGAGGCAGCAGUGGGAAUAUUGCACAAUGGGCGCAAGCCUGAUGCAGCCAUGCCGCGUGUAUGAAGAAGGCCUUCGGGUUGUAAAGUACUUUCAGCGGGGAGGAAGGGAGUAAAGUUAAUACCUUUGCUCAUUGACGUUACCCGCAGAAGAAGCACCGGCUAACUCCGUG